rnacentral:rRNA from 1 species
GUGGGGAAUAUUGGACAAUGGGCGCAAGCCUGAUCCAGCCAUGCCGCGUGAGUGAUGAAGGCCCUAGGGUUGUAAAGCUCUUUCACCGGAGAAGAUAAUGACGGUAUCCGGAGAAGAAGCCCCGACUAACUUCGUGCCAGCAGCCGCGGUAAUACGAAGGGGGCUAGCGUUGUUCGGAAUUACUGGGCGUAAAGCGCACGUAGGCGGACAUUUAAGUCAGGGGUGAAAUCCCGGAGCUCAACUCCGGAACUGCCUUUGAUACUGGGUGUCUGGAGUAUGGAAGAGGUGAGUGGAAUUCCGAGUGUAGAGGUGAAAUUCGUAGAUAUUCGGAGGAACACCAGUGGCGAAGGCGGCUCACUGGUCCAUUACUGACGCUGAGGUGCGAAAGCGUGGGGAGCAAACAGGAUUAGAUACCCGAGUAGUCC